CGACGACUUCAUUUUUUGGAUUUGGUCGGUAAUCCGUCACAAAUCCGUCACAAAUGUCCGACGACAUUGGUGUCCGUCGGAACCUCCGUCGGAAUUCGGCGUGUUUUCUUGUAGUGCAGGGCCAAAGCUUAAAAGAGGUUAUCCUAUACCUUCCUAGACCGGUCUUCUCACAUGGUCAACUCUACGUGGCCCUCUCACGUGUAACAAGCAAAGCAGGACUAAAAAUCAUCAAAGGCGAAGACUCACACAAACAAAAAGUGAAGAACAUAGUCUACAAAGAAAUCUUCAACCGCCUUCAUCCACAUGAGAGUAAGUAAAAUUCAAAAAUCAGAAUCUAAUGGAAGAUUUCAAAGUGGUUAUCUAUCUAAAAAUUCAUAUCUAUCUACUAUGCAGCACUCGAGGUACCACCAGAAAUGAAUCAGAACUAAAACUCCUUCCGUGAUGAAGGUUACCUCAGUGCUUACAAGUACGUCUCCCUACUUUACUAUCUAAUUAAUUGAUAACUAAUACUAAUCUAUGUUCACUGAUAUAUUUAAAAAUAAAUUGCAGGCUCCCCAACACGGAAACUCCUUCCCUUCCACCACCUACUUCGUCAAAAGUCCACCGUCCUAUUUACGUUUUUUUCUUCUAUGUUUUAAGACAUUAACAUCUGCUCUUAAUAAUGAUAAGGACAAUUUUGCUUCUACGCAUAAUUUAUAACAAACUAAAAUUUUAAAGAGAUUAAGAUUAUUUUUUUUUUACAACUUUAAAUACAUUAUAUUACUCAAACAACCUGAUGUGUUAAUCGAUUUUUGCCUUCAAUAUGACAUACACUGUUUAAUUUAAAAUAAUGUAUUGCAAAUAAUUUCAUACAAAAUAACCCGGGCGUAGCCCGGGACCGCCUCUAGUUAUAUAUAAGAGGGUUUCCUCUCUCCUUAGGAUCCACGUAUGAAAUUCAUUUCAUAGCAUCGCGAGACGUGUCCAGUCUGCAAACCGCAUCGUUUCAUUAAAGAUGGUCCUGUUGGGCUUCAUUCUGAUUCAUGUUUGCUUACGUUUUGGGCUGUUAGCUGCGGCAGCGGCUAGAGAUCAAAAUUCAAGAUGAAAAAAGGAGUAUCCAAAGGGAAAGAGAGAAGAACAGGAGAAGAAAUCUUUUGUUUUCAGUCGUACAGAGGAGUGAGAAAUGAGGAAUAAUGGUCACUACUUUUUUUGGCGUUAGCGGCAACACCGAAAAGCUUCUUUUAUUCUGACGCCGCGUCUCUGUUCAGCGACAACACCGAAAAACUUAUGAACAAAUCUAUGACGCCGCGUCUCUGUUCAGCGUUCGUUAAACGAACAUGGCUAUUAUAUGUUUUUGCGGCCCGAUGGAGAUCGUCUCUCCCCCUUAGAUCUAUGGGGGUGACGCCUGAUCAUAUUAACUACUUUUCACUCAUAAAGACAACCCGGAAACGUUACAGAUGCAUUCAAUUGUUGUCGUUAACGAACUUCUUAACUCCUUCAACUCAUGCCAAGCACGAUUCCCCAUUCCCGUAAAUAUCAUCCUUUCAUAUCUCACAGAAAAUGAUUGAGCUACUGAAAUCUCAUGGCAGUUUAUCUUAUGGAGAUGGGUGAAGUUGUGUCGGUUCGUUUCUGUAGGGAUAUGGCACUUGGAGAUCGCAUUAAUUUGUCAAUUUCACCAGUCUCCAAGAUGGAUGCUGGAAAAGAUGUGUUGGAAAGCUAUUCAAGAGGACUGACGAUGUUCUCUAUGUAGACAAAACCAUGAGAGGUAUUGAAUAAGUUAUAAUAGGUUUUAGACUAUACGUCUACGUUUCUUCUUUUUCUUUCUCUUAUGCCUCCUGUAAAUUAAAUUUAGACUUUUAAAAAUAUGUCAAGCCUGGAAAAAUAUAUUCAGUUUCUUUUACUCAAAUUCUGGAUAUAAUAAGCCAUGUUCAUCAAGAAAGAAGGGAACAACGAUCCAAGCUUCUUUGCUCCUUUGAUUCUCACUUUCCAGAGAUCUUUCCAGAGAUCUCUCAUGAUCAUAAGAAAACAACUAUGCAACAGUAGACCCACUUGAGCUGUCAUCAUCCACUGAACAAUUGUUACGUCCUAGCUAUCAUUCCGUAUGACCCUCUCCUCAGAACUUGGUGCUGCUGGUUUGAUUGAUUUUUAAGCCAACGAGUGGCUCAAAGAUUGCCCCUGUCACUACUGUUUGAAGCAUUGCUUCUUGAUUGACCUGAGCUUAUCCCGUCUUCCAAAAGCGUCCAUGGGUCACCCACAUCCCUGUUGUCUGGUUCUUACUGUUGACACGGGGAGUUUAUUUGAUUGAGCUCAGCAGAAGAUCUCGAGGGUCAAACAAGUGUGACACUACAAGAAAACAUCGUUAUUCUGACGGAAAAUGAGAAAUUUGGGUUUUCUCGUAAUAUACCGAUGAAAUACCGAGGAAAUCAUAUUCCUCGGAAAACACCGACGAAUAUCCGAAGAUAUAUUAUAGCUGUUAGAGAGUCGUUGGAGGAUUUUAAAAUUCCAAAGGAAAGAGCCGUUGCCUCGGAAUUGCCUCAGAAUAUACCGAUGAAAUACCGAGUAAAUCAUAUUCCUCGGAAAACACCGACGAAUAUCCGAGGAUAUAUUAUAGCCGUUAGAGAGCCGUUGGGGGAUUUUAAAAAUUCUGAAGAAAU